rnacentral:rRNA from 1 species
CACGUAGGGCACAAGCGUUGUCCGGAAUUAUUGGGCGUAAAGAGCUCGUAGGCGGUCUGUUGCGUCCGCUGUGAAAACUCGGGGCUUAACUCGGAGCGGCCAAGUGAUACUGUCGUGCUAGAGUGCGGAAGGGGCUACUGGAAUUCUCGGUGUAGCGGUGAAAUGCGUAGAUAUCGAGAGGAACACCUGCGGCGAAGGCGGGUAGCUGGGCCGACACUGACGCUGAGGCGCGAAAGCUAGGGGAGCGAACGGG